UCGUAAAGGGGGAUGAGUGGUGUUUGGUUUGUCACGUGUGGUUGGCUGCGGCGUUUGCAACAACUUCCAUGCUUUCAGACCUCUUCAGUUGUGCGKCAAGGCUUGUAUCGCCUUGCCGUAUUGYGGGUUUUCUGUGUUGAAUACCUAAUCAAUGGUAUCGGUUGGAUUGAUCAAUGUUUCAUUUCGUCUSUCGUUGCAUUCGCGGCGUGAGACGAACCUCGAUGCGGUCUCUUUGGUCCACCUCGUCGAAGCACAUGCUUUGACGUUGUGGCACAUUGAGCAUUGCUUGGUCUCUUGUAUACGGAACAUACAGUGGGCAUGGAUCUAACGAUUCUUSUUUGCCCUCAUGUUAGCGUAACGCUUCUCUUACACGACUUGCUCCACGUUUUAGCUCGUACGGACGUGGUGCUAUGUCGAAGAGGAAAUGCUACCUGGUUGAUCCUGCCAGUAGUCAUAUGCUUGUCUCAAAGAUUAAGCCAUGCAKGGUUGUUAA
rnacentral:misc_RNA from 1 species